rnacentral:misc_RNA from 1 species
GAGAAACCCUGGAAUCAAAAAUGGGCAAUCCUGAGCCAAAUCCUAUUUUAUGAGAACAAAAACAAACAAGGGGUCAGAACGGGAGAAAGAGGAUAGGUGCAGAGACUCAAUGGAAGCUGUUCUAACAAAUGGAGUUGACUGCCUUUUUGGGGGAAAGAAAGGAAUUCUUCUAUCGAAUAUCAAAAGGCCAUAAAGGAUGAAGGAGAAGCCUAUAUACACUAUGUAUACGUAAUGAAAAAAUACACUAUAUAUACGUAAUGAAAAAGGAUCUCAAAAAUGACGACCCGAAUCCUUUUUGUUUUUCUUUUGAAGAACUAAUUAAUCGGACGAGAAUAAAGAUAGAGUCCCAUUCUACAUGCCAAUAUCAAUACUGGCAACAAUGAAAUUGAUAGUAAGAGGAAAAUCCGUCGACUUUAGAAAUCGUGAGGGUUCAAGUCCCUCUAUCCCCAAAUCCCCCCCAAAAAGGCCCAUUUAACUCCCUAACGAUUUAUCCUAUGUUAGUGGUUCAAAAUUCGUUAUGUUUCUCAUUCAUACUACUCUUUUCCAUUUACAAACGUAUCCGAGCAGAAUUUUUUCUCUUAUCACACCCAAGUCGUGUGGUAUAUAGGAUACACGUACAAAUGAACACUUUUGAGCAAGGAAUCUCCAUGUGAAUGAUUCACAAUCCAUAUCAUUCCUCAUACUGAAACUGACAAAGUCUGCUUUUUGAAUAUUCAAGAAAUGCAAUUCCCCGUCCAAGACUUUUAAGACUGAAUUUCGUCUUUUUUAAUUGACAUAGACCCAAGCCAUCUAGUAAAAUGAAAAUGAUGCGUCGGUAAUGGUCGGGAUAGCUCAG